GUCACGCUGUAAACGAUGUCGAUUUGGAGUUUGGGGGCAUGACCCUUGGGCUCCGGAGCUAACGCGUUAAAUCGACCGCUGGGGAGUACGGCCGCAAGGUUAAAACUCAAAUGAAUUGACGGGGGCCCGCACAAGCGGUGGAGCAUGUGGUUUAAUUCGAUGCAACGCGAAGAACCUUACCUGGUCUUGACAUCCAUAGAAUCUUUCAGAGAUGAGGGAGUGCCUUCGGGAGCUAUGAGACAGGUGCUGCAUGGCUGUCGUCAGCUCGUGUUGUGAAAUGUUGGGUUAAGUCCCGCAACGAGCGCAACCCCUAUCCUUUGUUGCCAGCACGUAAUGGUGGGAACUCAAAGGAGACUGCCGUUGAUAAAGCGGAGGAAGGUGGGGACGACGUCAAGUCAUCAUGGCCCUUACGACCAGGGCUACACACGUGCUACAAUGGCGUAUACAAAGGGAUGCGAAGGUGCGAACUGGAGCGGACCUCACAAAGUACGUCUAAGUCCGGAUUGGAGUCUGUAACUCGACUCCAUGAAGUCGGAAUCGCUAGUAAUCGUGAAUCAGAAUGUCACGGUGAAUACGUUCCCGGGCCUUGUACACACCGCCCGUCACACCAUGGGAGUGGGUUGCACCAGAAGUAGAUAGCUUAACCUUCGGGAGGGCGUUUACCACGGUGUGGUUCAUGACUGGGGUGAAGUCGUAACAAGGUAACCA
rnacentral:rRNA from 1 species